AGGAUGAGAAGAAACUUGUGCUUCUCAUUUAAUCUUUGUUGAACUCUCUUUAUGUGCGAUUGUGCACUUGUUGGGUUCUUCUUCUGUGCACUUGCACCUGUAGAAGUAUUCUGUUGUGCACUUGUACAAUUAUUUUGAUGUGCACUUGUUAGGCCUUGAACCUUAAUGUGUGGAGGAGUCGGUGGAUGAUGUAUUGUAUUUCAUGUGAUGUACUACUGAAAUGAAAUAUACAGUUUAUCUGCAAUCUUUUAUU
rnacentral:lncRNA from 1 species